UUUUUUUUUUUUUUUUUUUUUUUUUUUUUUUUUUUUUC
rnacentral:ribozyme from 1 species